rnacentral:piRNA from 1 species
UACUCCAUGGGUCUUGCCUUACCACGUGUC